GAUGAAGAACGUAGCGAAAUGCGAUAAGUAAUGUGAAUUGCAGAAUUCAGUGAAUCAUCGAAUCUUUGAACGCACAUUGCGCACGCCAGUAUUCUGGCGGGCAUGCCUGUUCGAGCGUCAUUUCAACCAUCAAGCCCCCGGCUUGUGUUGGGGACCUGCGGCUGCCGCAGGCCCUGAAAAGCAGUGGCGGGCUCGCUGUCACACCGAGCGUAGUAGCAUACAUCUCGCUCUGGGCGUGCUGCGGGUUCCGGCCGUUAAACCACCUUCAUAACCCAAGGUUGACCUCGGAUCAGGUAGGAAGACCCGCUGAACUUAAGCAUAUCAAUAAGCGGAGGA
rnacentral:misc_RNA from 1 species